rnacentral:lncRNA from 1 species
AUGCCACAUGGUCUCUCCUCAAAGGCCUCCCUUGGGGCUGCCUCCCAGCUCUGCAACCAGAAAGCGAGGAUGAGCCUUUCUCCCCGGGGCCAAGGUGAAGGUCACAUAAGCCCACUUGAAAGUGCUGGUCCAGGUGUUGGAAUGACUGCUUGCCAAAUGUUGCCUUCAGCUCCCAGACGGGGAAAUCCUGCCUCCCACCCCCAAGCAGGGGCGACGAACUCCCCUAGAGCCCCUACAGCCUUUCUUGUGGGAGAUGGAAGAGACCUGCCUGCUGCCCAGGUGCAGGUAAGAGCUACCAGGCUCUGCCUGAGAGCCUUCUGUUCCUCCCGGAGAAGUGGCAGCGACAGACCUGUGUGCAGCCUGCCCACUUGGCAAAGCAACGUCUCACCCACUGGCCUCAGCCGGCCUCUUGGCAGCCCGCGGGGAUGUUCCUGCAGGAUGGACCAGGGGCUCAGACAGGUAGAAGAAUGCGGCCAGGUGGCACCGACGACCUGAAGGGUGGGGCCCGUGUGAAGUAAAAGCCAAGGGCCUGUCGUCAGAAAUUAUUCAGGAUUUCGGAACGGAGACAGCAGGAUAUUAAAGUAGCCACGGGCUCACCUCAAGGCAGGGGCCUAGUGACUGCACAGGGUGAGCACUUGGGAAGUGGCCCGCGUCUGGGUCACACUCCAGUAAGGAGGGGCCAACCUUGGGGCCAGGAGGGCCUGAGCAGUGGAGCUGGGUGACAAGGAAGAAGACUGGCUGGGGCCUAAAGGGCACAGGGGAAAUUCCCAGACAAGAAGCCCCUGGGAAGGGUGCUCCCCUGUGCCUUGUGUACACAGGCCAGGGCGGGGAAAGGAGGCUGCCUGGGCGCUGCCUGUGGGUACCACCUGGGGUCCAGCAGGGCCCCUGAGGGAGUCUCAGUCACCAAGUAUGUGGAUUAUGGGCUGCAGGUCAGAUAAAUGGAGUGGUGGCUCUGUGCACUGGCUGUGAGUGCCCGGGCUAGUGCCUUCGUUUCCCGGGUCUGUUUCCUGAUGGUCACAGGGUUGACAGUGGGCGCCACACCCUUCCUGCAUGGCCCUGAAGCCACACAGGAGGUGCUGGUGCUCUGCAAACUAGUGUGACCAUGACCCCAGGCUCACCCUCAAUUCUGUUUCUUAGUACCCCUGGACGUGAUCUCAUCACCCAAGACCCACUGCUGAUUUACCCAGAUACUGUCUGAACUGCUCUGACCCUGGCCUCCGACCCUUGGGGAGGAAGGGUCCCUUCCUGUGGCGGUGCCCUCCUUGGCCAUUCCCCCUCCAGGCAGAGCUGAAUCAAGGUGGCCCCUGUGUCCCUCAGGGGCCCAGACAGUGGGGGUGGCUGAUGCAUGGUGCUCAGUGACUGGAUUGAUGAACGGGGACCCUGGAGUUCUGUGAGGAAUGACAUAAAGUGUGGGCUGGGCCUGGCAGCGCUGCAGGGAUCAGGGCUCAGCAGAUGAGUGGGGAGGGGAUGCAGGCUGCCUUGCAGGGCCCCGCCAGGAGCUCUGCACCCCUUACAAAGUGAAUCAGCUAUGGCCAGGCUUUGCUCCAAAGAGUCAGGGGAUUAUGAGUAAAUGACUGUCCCUUGUCUGGCCUUGGGCUUCCCACCUGUAGUGUACCAGGGCUCACCAGGAGCGGUGGAUCCUGUGGGCCCUGUGUCCUGCACCUGCCCUGUCCCUGCAGGUCUGACCUAAAAGUCCCCGCCUGAGCUGGCACCUGCUGUCUGCGCUUGAGCCAGUGGAGGUGGCUGUGAAGCAUGACCAUGGGCUUUCCCUGUCC